ensembl:lncRNA
UGGGGAGACUCAAAAUAGCGAGACCCACACAUGACAGUUAUCAGUCGGCCAGGCCCUCAAUUGGAGAGACCACAGCCCAAUGGUUCUCAGUGGGGCUCAGUGGGGCUCAAUGGGGCUGAGAUGUGGGGCUGGGAGUGUGGGGCUGAGAUGUGGGGCUCAAUGGGGCUCAGUGGGGCAGAGAUGUGGGGCUCAAUGGUGCUGAGAUGUGGGGCUGGGAGUGUGGGGCAGGGAUGUGGGGCUCAGUGGGGCUCAGUGGGGCAGGGAGUGGGGGGCUCAAUGGGGCUCAAUGGGGCAGGGAUGUGGGGCUCAAUGGGGCCCAAUGUUUCUCAAUGGUCUCAAUGUUUCUCAAUGGGGCUCAGUGGUUCUCAAUGGGGCUCAAUGGGGCUCAGUGGAGUAGGGAUGUGGGGCUCAAUGGGUCCCAAUGGGGCUCAAUGGAGCUCAGUGGGGCAGGGAUAUGGGGCUCAAUGGGGCCCAAUGGUUCUCAAUGGGGCCCAAUGUUUCUCUAUGGGUCCCAGUGUUUCUCAAUGGGGCUCAGUGGGGCAGGGAUGUGGGGCUCAAUGGGUCCCAAUGUUUCUCUAUGGGUCCCAGUGUUUCUCUAUGGGUCCCAGUGUUUCUCAGUGGGUCCCAGUGUUUCUCUAUGGGUCCCAAUGUUUCUCUAUGGGGCUCAGUGGGGCUCAAUGGGGCCCAAUGUUUCUCAAUGGGGCCGAAUGUUCCUCAAUGGGGCUCAGUGUUUCUCUAUGGGGCUCAAUGGGGCAGGGAUGUGGGUCUCAAUGGGUCCCAAUGUUUCUCUAUGGGUCCCAAUGUUUCUCUAUGGGUCCCAGUGUUCCUCUAUGGGUCCCAGUGUUUCUCUAUGGGGCUCAGUGGGGCUCAGUGGGUCCCAGUGCUUCUCUAUGGGGCCCAAUGUUUCUCAAUGGGGCCCAAUGUUCCUCAAUGGGGCUCAGUGUUUCUCUAUGGGGCUCAGUGGGGCAGGGAUGUGGGUCUCAAUGGGUCACAAUGUUUCUCUGUGGGUCCCAAUGUUUCUCUAUGGGGCUCAGUGGUGUUCAGUGGGUCCUAGUGUUUCUCAAUGGGGCCCAAUGUUUCUCUAUGGGGCUCAGAGGGGCUCAAUGGGGCCCAAUGUUUCUCAAUGGGGCCCAAUGUUUCUCAAUGGGGCCCAAUGUUCCUCAGUGGGGCUCAGUGUUUCUCUAUGGGGCUCAGUGGGGCUCAGUGGGUCCCAGUGUUUCUCAAUGGGGCUCAGUGGGGCAGGGAUGUGGGUCUCAAUGGGUCCCAAUGUCUCUCUAUGGGUCCCAAUGUUUCUCUAUGGGUCCCAGUGUUUCUCAGUGGGUCCCAAUGUUUCUCUAUGGGGCUCAGUGGGGCAGGGAUGUGGGUCUCAAUGGGUGCUAAUGUCUCUCUAUGGGGCUGCCCCCCAUCAGCUCCCCAGUGCAGUGGAGCCGCAGCUCAGCAGCCCCGGCAGCUUCCGACCCGGGACCCCGUCACUGACCCCAUACAGGCCGCUGCUGGUUCCGGGUGCCCCCGUCCCCAUUAAAGGCCCCUUUAUGGACCUGGGUUCGGAGCUGGCCAAGAUGGGGGGGGCCGGGGGGGGGCUGCUCUACACCCCCACCCCCACCCUGCUCUAUGGCGCCCCCUACUGCCCCGACGGCCACAUUAUGCAGGUGCGGCAGGACUUG